rnacentral:rRNA from 1 species
CGGGAAGAAAGCUUGCUUUCUUUGCCGGCGACCGGCGCACGGGUGAGUAACACGUAUCCAACCUGCCCUUUACUCGGGGAUAGCCUUUCGAAAGAAAGAUUAAUACCCGAUAGCAUAAUGAUUCCGCAUGGUUUCAUUAUUAAAGGAUUCCGGUAAAGGAUGGGGAUGCGUUCCAUUAGGUUGUUGGUGGGGUAACGGCCCACCAAGCCUUCGAUGGAUAGGG